rnacentral:rRNA from 1 species
UACAGAGGUCUCAAGCGUGUUCGGAUUCACUGGGCUUAAAGGGCGCGUAGGCGGGCUGCCAAGUCCGGGGUGAAAUCUUUCGGCCUAACCGGAAAAGUGCCUUGGAUACUGGCGGCCUGGAGGGAGGUAGGGGCACGCGGAACUUCCGGUGGAGCGGUGAAAUGCGUAGAUAUCUGGAGGAACACCGGUGGCGAAGGCGGCAUCCUGGACCGGCAUUGACGCUGAGGCGCGAAAGCCAGGGGAGCAAAGCGGG